CUACAGGGGUAUCUAAUCCUGUUCGCUCCCCACGCUUUCGUCCAUCAGCGUCAAUAUGGCGUUAGCGACCUGCCUUCGCAAUCGGUAUUCUGAGCAAUAUCUAUGCAUUUCACCGCUACACUGCUCAUUCUAGCCGCUUCACGCCAAUUCAAGGCGGCCAGUAUCAAUGGCAGUCCCGCAGUUGAGCUGCGGGAUUUCACCACUGACUUAGCCGCCCGCCUACGGACCCUUUAAACCCAAUGAUUCCGGAUAACGCUCGGAUCCUCCGUAUUACCGCGGCUGCUGGCAC
rnacentral:rRNA from 1 species